GUCCCUGUAGAUCAUAGCAGAUCAUCCCAGCUCAAUUAGUGUUAGAGCAGCGAAUUUGUUGGGACGCCGGCGGUUCGACUCCGCCCGGGGACA